UACGGAGGGUGCAAGCAUUAAUCGGAAUUAUUGGGCGUAAAGGGCGCGUAGGCGGAUAUGUAAGUCAGAUGUGAAAUUCCGAAGCUCAACUUCGGAGCUGCAUUUGAAACUACAUGUCUAGAGGGAUGGCGGAGAAAACGGAAUUCCACGUGUAGCGGUGAAAUGCGUAGAUAUGUGGAAGAACACCGGUGGCGAAGGCGGUUUUCUAGCUAUUUCCUGACGCUGAGGCGCGAGAGCAAGGGGAGCAAACAGG
rnacentral:rRNA from 1 species